UACGGAGGCCUCGAGCGUUAGGCGGAAUCACUGGGCUUAAAGCGUGUGUAGGCGGAUCGUUAAGUACCUUGUGAAAUCCCACGGCUUAACCAUGGAAUUGCUUGGUAUACUGGCGAUCUUGAGCCACCUAGGGGCGAGCGGAACAAAUGGUGGAGCGGUGAAAUGCGUAGAUAUCAUUUGGAACGCCAAUGGUGAAAACAGCUCGCUGGGGGUGUGCUGACGCUGAGACACGAAAGCCAGGGGAGCAAACGGG
rnacentral:rRNA from 1 species